GUAAAAUUUCAUCCACUAAAUUUUUCUAGAAAAAUUUACCUUGGUAAACUUACCGCGUUAAAUUUCACCCGCCCAUCAAACGGGUUGUUAAGGAGGAAAAAUUUAUACUGCGAGUGAAAUUUCACCUACGCGAUUGAAAUCCCGUCAAACGGGGUGGAAUUCCACCCGUUUAACGCAAAAGGGAGCGGGUGGAAUUCCACCCGCUCGAAAGUCCGAGCUCCGUUGUUUCGGGCGCUCGACCCUCCUCAGCGCACGACCUCCUUCGGCAGCUCACAUCGCACCGCAGCUCCUCCUCCCUCGAGCCUUCUCACAUCGCACCCGAGUGGAAGGAGGUUGCACCGUCGCCGCUGCCUCUCUGUCGCCGCUGCCUCUCUGCUCCACCGCCGAGACCGUCUGCCACAGAGACCGUCGCCUCAGCGCCGUCGCGUCUCCGCUCCACCGCCGAAGCUUGAAAUGGGGGUAAGACGGCACAUACUUGUGGUG